CUUUGCAAUCGCGGGAGCUCGGAGCACCGGGCUGAGAGGGCGCUGACCUCCGUCCCAGCGAUGUUUCACGUGAAACGUCGAACGGUUUCACGUGAAACAUCGGAUGACGGAAGCCGCUGCGUCGACCGCCGAACCUGUUACCGGGUAAUGCCGGCGUAGGGAGUUGGGUCUAUAUGACU
rnacentral:ncRNA from 1 species